AAGCUGAACGUAGAUGGAGCACAGUGGGUAGUCACUGAAUAUUUUGACGAGCACAACCAUGAGCUAAUAAAGAAGUUUGACCUGGUAAAAUUUCUGACCGCCAACAGAGGAUUCACACCCCUCGAGAAGAAAUUCAUAAAGCUGCUACAUGAUUGUAACGUCGGUCCAUCAAGAAUGGUCCAGAUACUCUCCCUCAUCCACAGCAAAAAUGGGACUCUGAGUAGCAUGCCCUACAUACCAGCAGACGUCACAAACCUAAAGGCAAAGUACCGUAGAGAAAGCAAGUUGGCUGACAUAGAAGCCACGAUAGCCUACUUCGAUGAGAAAGCGAAAGAAGAUCCAGAUUUCUUCUACAGGAUAAGAUUGGACGAUGAGGACCGUGUAAGGAACAUGUAUUGGGUGGAUGGUGCUGCAACAAGAGCCUACAAACAUUUCCGAGACUGCAUUUCAUUCGACGCGACAUAUCUCACUAAUAUGUACAAGAUGCCAUGCGCUCCAUUCAUAGGAAUAAAUAACCACAACACAUAUGGGUACACUUGGCUGUUCAAGACCUUCUUGGAGUGCAUGGGUGGACUUGCUCCGAUGAGCAUAAUAACAGACCAGGAUUUUAGCAUGCGUGCAGGCAUAGAGGUCUUUCCGUUGCCAGUGCACAGGCACUGCAGGUGGCACAUUAUAAAGAAGGCUGAGGAGACGCUAGGACCGUUCUUUGCUACUACACAGCACAACGAGGGGUUCAAUGCUGUUUUGAAGCGGUACGACGGCAUUGUGUGCUGUCACAUACUAAAAGUAAUGGACAUGAACGCGGUGACACGAAUGCCCCGCCAUUUCAUAAGGCGGCAAUGGACUUGGGACGCUGACGAUGCAUUGGCGCCGCAAACAUCAAAUGCAGUUUUGGCUGUGCAUGACGAGAGACCAGAGUCAACCAUGGAAGCCGUGAGGCACAUUGUGUUGACAAAGAACUAUGCUGAACUAAUUGAUGAAGCGUGCAAGAGUGAUGAGACAGCGAGGGUCGCAAAAAAACACAGGAAGGCCCUCAAAAGAGAGCUUGAUGAGAUCAAGAAGAGGAAAGCUGAGGAAGCCUUACACAGGUUCCCCUGCACAUCAAGUGUGCCUUCAUCCACGGGGCCAUCAUCUGAAAACUCGGAGGUAGGAUCUGGAACAGCAAGCACAGAAACCCAGGUUAGGAAUCCGCCCCGUUCCAUCACAAAAGGGCGUCCAAAAGAGAUAAGAUACAAAUCGGGAUUGGAGAUUCAAGCAAAACACAAGAAACCAAAGAAAGGGACGGGCAAUCCGUAA
rnacentral:rRNA from 1 species